rnacentral:lncRNA from 1 species
UGCAGCUGCAGCCGUGGUGUUGCAUGGGGGCCUCGGGACUCCACGGGCUACUGCGGUGUCUGCUUCAGGAGUCAGAAGAGGGCUUCCCGAGGGCUCUGUCAGAUAAUCUAGGCUGAGAGGUUGUGUCCCACAAAAGGUGGCUCAACUGGCCCGGGAGUUACUUCCUCAGACAAAGGCUCUGAACAGAGCCAGGAUGGAAUCAGGCAGACCCCUGACUGAUGGGGACAGGGAACCGCUCCUUGGACAUUUGAUUUUGUGUGUCAUCCUGCUGGUUCCAAAACCUGCUCCUGCAAAAGUGUCUUCAGAGCCUUGCUUGCAGUUCUUUAAAGGUCUCAGAAGUCAGAAGAGGUCAGUCAGCUCCCCUGGUGGAGCUGG